rnacentral:tRNA from 1 species
UCCCUGGUGUCUCAGGGGUAAAGAAUCUGCCUGCAAGGCAGGGGACCCAGGUUCAAUCCCUGGGUUGGGAA